UACGUAGGGAGCGAGCGUUGUCCGAAGUUACUGGGCGUAAAGCGCGCGUAGGCGGGCUGUUAAGUGAGAGGUGAAAGGCUGGGGCUUAACCCCAUGCAGUGCCUCUCAUACUGGCGGUCUUGAGUGCGGCAGGGAGAAGUGGAAUGGCUGGUGUAGCGGUGAAAUGCGUAGAUAUCAGGAGGAACACCGGUGGCGAAGGCGCCACUCUGGGCCGGUACUGACGCUGAGGAGCGAAAGCGUGGGUAGCAAACAGG
rnacentral:rRNA from 1 species